rnacentral:rRNA from 1 species
GUCAAGUCCUCAUGGCCCUUACGGGCUGGGCUACACACGUGCUACAAUGGCGGUGACAAUGGGUCGCGAACCCGCGAGGGGGAGCCAAUCCCAUAAAGCCGGUCGUAGUCCGGAUUGCAGUCUGCAACUCGACUGCGUGAAGUCGGAAUCGCUAGUAAUCGCAGAUCAGCAUUGCUGCGGUGAAUACGUUCCCGGGUCUU